rnacentral:lncRNA from 1 species
GAUGCCAUCGAGGAGCCUCUCGAUCCUUCCUCUUUCAAGCUCAACGAUCUCCCUUUGACCCAGACUGAAUCCCUAUCCACCUCAGAUCCCAGUCCUUCCUCAUCUUCCGACCACCCCAAUUCCAAACCUGCUUCCACUGAAUCUGAUGUUUCCAAAUCCAAACCCGAUUCUCCGUCUACUAAAACUUCCAGCUUGGACUACUGGGACGAAGACGAGUUCGAAGGUCUCCCGAAUCAGCCUCAAAAUCCAGCUGUUGAUAAUACUCCAAUCACUCCCUCAACUACUGAAGGAAGUAAAACAUCAUAUCCGAAUUCGAAGGAGGCUAGCGAGGGUGUUCCCAAGAGG